UUUAUAAUUUCGCUACAACUUGCGGGGCACUUGUCCAAUUCCACUUUUCCAAAACGACAACCACCAUCCUCUCACAAUUUUGGCGAGACGGUUCUCGACGGAAGCGGAGUACCCACCUCAAGACUCUCCGCCGUCUGAUCAUUCUCUGGAGCCUUCGCCGUCCGAUCAGAAGCAGGAUGCCUCACCAAUCGAUCCAUCUCUUCGAACCCCAACCGCAGUAGGGUAGUGCAGUUCCAGUCAUGGAAAGCUUUUGAUAAUGCAGCAAGGGUGAUUUCCAGGAAGGGCCCCCUUGUAUAAAUUGGAGAGGGCUAACCGAUCGCAUUGGGACAAUCUUACUUCCCAUGAUGGAAAAACUGUUUUAUUGAAGGAAUCCCUCAAACUGCAGCUCCAGAAGAUAAUUUUCAGGUCUUUCCCAGAAUACUCUAAAUUUGCGACAGUUCGCUGUACUUCUCAAACUGAGGCAAUAUAUUACUUGCGAAGAACAAAGGCUCCUGCCAGAAUGGUCAGAUUUUGAUGCGUGUUCUCCAGUAAUCCUGGUAUGAGAAUAAGAUAAUGAAUUUUUUGAGACCGUGUUUUGUUUACUGGAUUCAAUUCAACAAUUGAAAUGUUCAUUCCUUUUGUAGCAAUGGGGCCUACCACUCAAUGCACUACCUACUUUAUUAGUUUAAUCUCAUCAGUCAUCCCAAAGUGCUUUACAAAACAUUUGAGCAUUGUCAUAUCUCAUAUACUCUAG
rnacentral:sRNA from 1 species